CACUUUUGUAAUUUUUGGUAAACACUUGGAGACGUUAAAACAAAAACCCACAAACAAACCGAAGGAGUUUACACUACGUCCGUUUUCGUGACCGUUACAAUUUGAAAUCGAAAAGAGACUGAAUCGGACUGAGUCUCGGACCUUAAUGCGAGCCAAAACAGCGGGUGCUUAUAUACAGUCAAUGGCGAAAGUAUACUGACAGCAGAUGCAACAACAUAGCAACAGGCACGAAGUGCGAUACUGUUUCAUUCUUUACACUGAAACAAAGGAAGUGAGCAUUACCCUUCAGUACCAAAAGUCGCCGGGGACAAAAUCGCCGCAAAUUCCGAGCCACUGACGUCGGCAGAAAAAAAUUCUGCUAGCGUAUUUCAUGCUGAGUUUAGCCGACGGCACCCGAACGAUCAAAUGUCGUCAUCAAAACCCGAUCGAAAAGCAACAAAGUUUGUUAUUUGUCAUUAAAAAAAAAAAAUUGGACAAGAAGUAAAAUAAGUAAAGUAGCAAAGAAUACUUUAUGUUCUUCACUUCGUACUUCUGUGCAUUGUUGCUAUUGUUUUCUCCCACUUCUACACGCGGCGCUUUGUAUUCUUCGUUUCUUUGUGCAUUCUCGAUUGAUUUUCGUAAGGGCAGCAGCUAGCUAAAAUUUUUACAUACAAUUUUGAGUGAUUUUUUUCUAAUUCAGUGAAUACAACAAUUAAGAAUCCACCAAAAAUUCGAUUUCGGAUGACCAGGCGGAGAAUGUGACAUAAGACAUUGUUUGACUUGAGCUAAAAAUAAUAAUACAACAAACAAAACAAUAAAAAAAGUGAGAAAAAUGUAAACAUUGACAUGUCGCCGCAAAUUCGAUUGUAAAUCCGAGCUAUUUUGCUGGGACAUUCCGGCGAAAUGUCGCCGCAAGUUCCGUUGAACAUACGAGCAACUUGGUUCUUCGUCUUCAGCGGAUCGAGAGAAUGUCUGAGGCGCUAGGACACACAAUGCUAAAUGUCGCCGCAAAUUUGUAUGGCAUGUCCCCUGAAAUUCCGAGGCGACAUCUGACAAAUUGCCUGUUGCUAUAGCAACAGGCACGAAGUGUGAUACUGUUUCAUUCUUUACCCUGAAACAAAGGAAGUGAGGUUGUUUAUAGCCAACUAAGGUUUUAUACUGAACCGACAGAGCUUAAUAAAUAACCUUAGUAAAUAAUGAUAUUAUGGUUUAAUUAUUUUAGCAUUAAUAUCCAUCUAUGUAUG